UACCGCAUUCCAAUGCAACCAAACCACAAGGAAGAGUUGUGAAUGAGGCGAAUAUAUUGGGUAUCAAAAGAAGUUUGUGCGCCCCUACCAUCCUCAAACCAAUGGUCUGGUGGAGUGCAUGAACGCAACCAUCCAGAUGGUCCAAACCUGAAAUGUGGGAUGAAUAUUUGGAUGCUGUCACGUUUGGGUUGCGUAUCAAAAAACAGAUGACAACCAAAUUCUCCCCCUACUUUUGGCCGUGAAGCCCGGUACCCAACAGAAAUUCCAGAGGACUUUCUGAUGGACAGCGGUGUGGACGAUUGGAGCGGAGACAGUUUGCGAGGGCAUUAGGUGGCUUGAUGAGACAAGGGACAUAGUCCACAAAAACGUAUCCCAAUCUCAGCAGAGAACGUGCAAGAGAUUAGUUUGAAACGGAAGCAAGUCAGCUUUGCAGCGGGUGACAGAAUGUGAGGAGCCAGCAGCGUAAGGGUGGGAAGCUGGAGUCCAAUUUUCUUGGGCCCUUCACCAUCACGGCAAUCCACGGGAAAAGCGCUGAUCUCCUUGGAGACAAAUGGAGUGGAUUACAAAAAAAUCAGCACUGACCACCUAAAACAUUUCAGGCAGGAGAAUCCACGGAUUCCCCACAAAAUUGGAGCAUCCCCUGCCACUGCUGUCACUGUGCCAGGUGUGUCUGUCCCCACUGCCACAAGACCAAAACAAGACCUUCAGAGAUUGUCGCAGUAGCUUCAGCCCUCGCCACCACAGCCACUGUCCAAGCUGCCUCUGUCCCCGCCCCACACAUGCAGCCAUUGUCCUGGCUACUCCUGUCCCUUCCACCACUGUCCUUGCCACGACACCUAGUAGUAGUAGUAAUAGUAGUAGUAGUAGUAGUAGUAGUAGUAGUAAAGCCCUUUAUUCUUGUCACUUAUACAGGACUACAAGCGAAAUAGUGCAAUCAUCCGUCCAUACAUUACAACAUACUAUGCAGUGAGACAAGGGGUGACAGGACGGGAUGAUUGGGCGAUGAAGGGGGGACAAUAGGUCGAGAAUAGGUAGACGUCUUCGAUGUCCUCCACGGAAAGAAUCGCCAGGCACAUGACCUUCCACUUUCCCCAACUGUCCAUCAUGUACCGAGCGGUGUACGUUCCGUCAGGGCAGGCAGGUUCCCCCGUACCUGAGGUUCUCGUCGAGAAGAUCGUGUCAAUUGCGUGGAGAGACCAGUUCAAUUCCAUGAUUUAGGUUUUUGGAGAGCAGUGCAGUGAGAGGCUCUUGAGAAAGUACAAGACGAGACUAGACAAGACAAAGAAGCAAAGCAGGGAAGAUGAGAGGGGAAAGAUGCGACCGCCUUCGUUGAGAGCCAGAGAAGAAAAUCUGCAGCCACUGUGCUGACUGCUUCUGUCCCUGCACACAGGACCAACUGCCCCAGUCCUCCCAGUCACUGUCCCAGGUGCAGCAGGACCUGAAUAUAAAUACUCUGCGGUAGAAGGACAUGUCCCAUCCACAAAUAGUGGCACUCUGGUGCUUGGCUUGUCCUUGCAUCAAAGGUGUGAUCUGAGUAGU